AUUGAACGCUGGCGGCAGGCCUAACACAUGCAAGUCGAGCGGAUGAAGGGAGCUUGCUCCUGGAUUCAGCGGCGGACGGGUGAGUAAUGCCUAGGAAUCUGCCUGGUAGUGGGGGAUAACGUCCGGAAACGGGCGCUAAUACCGCAUACGUCCUGAGGGAGAAAGUGGGGGAUCUUCGGACCUCACGCUAUCAGAUGAGCCUAGGUCGGAUUAGCUAGUUGGUGGGGUAAAGGCCUACUAAGGCGACGAUCCGUAACUGGUCUGAGAGGAUGAUCAGUCACACUGGAACGGAGACACGGUCCAGACUCCUACGGGAGGCAGCAGUGGGGAAUAUUGGACAAUGGGGGAAAGCCUGAUCCAGCCAUGCCGCGUGUGUGAAGAAGGUCUUCGGAUUGUAAAGCACUUUAAGUUGGGAGGAAGGGCAGUAAGUUAAUACCUUGCUGUUUUGACGUUACCAACAGAAUAAGCACCGGCUAACUUCGUG
rnacentral:rRNA from 1 species